UUUUAGAUCCACAAAAUCGUCUUCCUUUCCUCCUCUUUCAGCCACCAUCACCAUCACGACCUCUCUCCCACCACCAUCACCUCCGCCAUCACCACCACCUCCUCCACGGUAUCAACAAAUUGACAUUAACAAAACCAUUUCAUACUUAUUUUUGGUUCAUUUGAGUGAGAGAGAUUUUCAGAGAUGAUUUAAAACUUCGAGAGAUAUCUUCUUCUGAGAUCAAUCAAAUCUUCGAAAUCGAACUGGAUAGUCACCAUCAACAGUUGAUCUUCUUCUAAUUUCAAGUUUAUUUCGGUGUCAAUUGAAGAUCCAUAAGAUCGAUACACAGAUUUAGGUUUUCGAUUUUGUUUUCUGGAGCAAUCAUCAUCAUGUAAAAGAUAAGGAGAAAUUGGAGAUUUUUAUCGUUGAUGUUGUUGGUGGAUGCCGGGGAGUAUAUUUUGUGCUUGGAUGACAGCUUGUGGGACGAACAGGCUCUUUAGCAUUUUGAGAAUAAAGUUGUAUGGACAACCACAUAGUAGAAGAAGACAGACGCAUGCAUAUCAAUUUUUUGAAUCACUAUGAGACGUUUUGUGGAGUUGUGAGAGAAGAGUCUGGCUGGGUUCAUUUUGUGGAGUUAUGAGAGAAGAGUCUGGCUAGGACUAUUUCGGAAGGCAUGACCAGGAUUGAUGAUGUUCAUUUUGUAGAGUUGUGAGAGAAGAGUCUGGCUGCAGUUGCUAUGAAGAUAUAGAUACUGGAGUUGUGGCCGCAGUUGGUUUUCCGCGGGUUCAAAUGGCCAGGUGAUGGAGCUAUGCAGGGAGUCUCAGUGGCGGUCAUGUUUUUCUUCAACAACAGUGGAUAUUAUUCAGUGUCGAAGCUAGGUUCCACUGGUGGAGCUAACUGGUGCCUGCAUUUAAGGUAUACCUUUAGUGGGAAAUUAUCUUUAUGUAUACAUCUUUGAGUAAUCACGACGAAUCUGUGGUGCAAUGGUAGCACAACUGACUAUAUGUCAGAAGAUGUGUGUUCGACUCACACUAGGUUCA